rnacentral:lncRNA from 1 species
CAUGUCAAUCAAGCGCCGUGCCUGAUGUGGAGGGAGCGGAGGCUGCGCGGCGGAGAGUAGAGAGCUAGAGGGUGAGAAGCGCUGGGCCGGACCAGAACUGUCUUAGCUUUUCCCUCUGCGGCUGCUCUGGUUGGUUACUUUGAGCCUGCCUCCUCAGCGCCGCAGGAGAGACUUAACAGCAAAAAUGACUGUGUCCUGAGUUCAGCCCCCACUGCUCUGGGAGCUUCCCCCUGGUUUCUGCACCUGAAGAAUGUCAUCCCAGCCGAAGGUUCUUAGGAGCGGGGAGCGACAAAGAAAAACAAAGAAAAGCAGACCUGAAAAUUGGGACCUGGGAGAAAUGUAAGACAUGUGCUUAAUUUGAGGCACAGACCAAAAGAAGCUGAGUCUGAGGGCCCUCUAAAAGUGUCCUCGUGCUUGGGCAGCUUACAUUCUUGGCGGCAGUAGUGUUAUGAAGAGGACCUUCGGAGCCAGAGACGAGUGCUCUAAACCAGUAUCAUGGCUCCAGUUCCUCUGACAAGGAUUCACAUGGGGUAAGUGCCCACUAAGGCAGAGGUGUCUACUUCAGCAGUGCAGAGCAACUCAGCUAAGUAGAGGGAAUAUGAAAUAGAACCAGAAGUCUAGCCUGCUUAGCUACAAAUGUUUCCACCAAAAAUAGUGGAUACAAAUGAAUUAAAAGUAUGCACAGUUUGGUGUCUGCUUGAACAAUGGGCACAUCCAGUGUGGAGAGCUUAAAAUGACUAUUUUUAUCCAAAAGAGGAACUAUUUCCCAAGCUAGAUCCCAGAAUAUGAGGCCUGAGACCACCUCAUUCCUAUGGCUGAGAAAAGUAAUACAGAAUUAUGGAGGCUGGCACGUCGGCAUGUCCAAAAUUUGCAGAGUGGGUAGCAGGCUAGUCCAGAGAAGUGCCAAUAUUGCGGUUUAAGUCCAAAGUCUGUUGGCUAAAGAAUUCCCUCUUGCUUGGAGGAGGUCAGUCUUUUGUGCUAUUCAGGCUUUCAACUGAUUGGACGAUGCCCACCCACAUUAUGGAAGGCAAUUUGCUUUCUCCAAAGUCCACCCUUUCAAAUGUAAAUCUCAUCCAAAAACACUCUCACAGAAACAUCCAGAAUAAUGUUUGACCAGCCAAGUGGACACAUAAAAGUAACCAUAAUUUUUUUUUUUUUUUUUACGGCCGGGUGCGGUGGCUCACGCCCGUCAUCCCAGCACUUUGGGAGGCCGAGGCGGGCAGAUCACAAGGUCAAGAGAUCAAGACCAUCCUGGCCAACAUGGUGAAACCCCGUCUCUACUAAAAAUACAAAAAUUAGCU